rnacentral:rRNA from 1 species
GCAGAACGCGAAGAACCUUACCUGGGCUUGACAUGUUAGUCGUAGACUUGUGAAAGCUUGUCGUCACUUCGGGUGGACUAUCACAGGUGCUGCAUGGCUGUCGUCAGCUCGUGUCGCGAGAUGUUGGGUUAAGUCCCGUAACGAGCGCAACCCCUAUGAACUGUUGCCAGCGGGUAAUGCCGGGGACUCUGUUCAGACUGCCCAGAUUAACUGGGAGGAAGGAGGGGAUGACGUCAAGUCAGUAUGGCCCUUACGCCCAGGGCUGCACACGUGCUACAAUGUCCAGUACAAUGUGAACCGAUACCGCGAGGUGGAGGAAAUCCUCAAAACUGGGCUCAGUUCGGAUUGCAGGCUGCAACUCGCCUGCAUGAAGUUGGAAUCGCUAGUAAUGGUGCAUCAGCUACGGCACCGUGAAUACGUU